AAAUAGUAACAACAUAUUAAGCAAUGAAAUGGUUAAUUAAACAAAAAAAAUACUUCAUGUAGCUUUAACUAGAAGAAGUAACUUUAAUUGGAUAUAGAUCUAAGAUUUUAAUAUGGAACUUGAACUUCCAACUUCUUCUCUAUUUUGGAGUGCUCAUUCUGACUUUGGCAUCGGAGCCCUUUUUUCUUUGUUUUGCAGGACAUCUCUUCUCCAAAUUAUAAAUUUAUUAUUACUGUCACAUGAAAGUUCAGCAUCCAUGACUGUAUGUUUGAGGAGAGUGUGUGUCUGCUUCUGAGAGCUUCAUGGUGUAAACCAUUGAUUGUCGAAGAACAGAAGGAAACCUAUGAUGAUCCUGAGGACGAUAAGUAAUAUCGUUACGAGGAUGACGAUGAAGAGUUUGAGGAUGCUUACCUGGGUGUCUCACCAAGUUUCCGUAUCGAAAAUUGAAGGUGGGGAGACAAUGGAUUCGUGAGGGCAGGUCGACAAGAAGCCCGACCCGUUGUUAGGCCAGAGUUUGCUGGAUCUUAUUCAUUGAGGGAGCCUAUAUAACUAAACAUGCUUGCAAAGAUAAAAACAAGUUGACGAGUUAAAGGGAUUUGAAACGAGAAGUUGCUGAUAAAGUAGCAGCAGCUAAGUAUCAAGGACAUCUAGCUAGGUUUCUGAUUUUAUGUUUAAAGCUCGUGUAUAGAAUAAAUUCUGCUCUUGCUUUUCCCUAUUCAAUUUACUUUUGUAUGAAAAUUGGAUUUCAAAUACAAUCAUGAAAAAAUUGUUAGUAGCUAGCAUCUAGUUUUAUGUAUUAAGCUUAGCUCUACUAUAAUCCACUAAACUAACUUAGCUGAUGAACAUUUUUUUUUUUUUUUUGUUUGUUGUCAUUGUAGCAACUUAUAUAGCGUCUAAUAAAAUUUGUCUUUUUCAAGGCGAUCAACUAAGAGGACUAGGUUGAGUUGGGAAAUUUUUUUUGGACCAACUAGAAAAUUUGGGUCGACCAAAUUUCCAACCUAUCACACAAUCCUAUUUCAUGAGGCCCAGCCGAAUCGGAUUGGAUUGGGUGGUCGUGUUUGUUUGUUUUUUUGUUUUUAAUUUUAUUUUGAAAUUUUGCUAAUAUUAAAAAAUUGUGGAAUCAAUAGGAGAUGGAAACUGAAAGAAGUCGAGGAAAAGAAGACCAACUGCGACGACUGCUGCAACUGUAAGGGAAGUCCUUUGCCUUUUGAUGUCUAUCAAAUUCAAUAUGGGUUGGUGGCUAAAAAGUAAAUCCCAAGUUUUAUAUAUUCUUAUACACGUACGUACAUAUAAUUUUGGGUCUGAUAGAAUCAAUCCGACCAAAAAAACACCUGAAUUUUUUUCACUAAA